rnacentral:rRNA from 1 species
AUUGAACGCUAGCGGCAUGCCUUACACAUGCAAGUCGAACGAGUGGCGGACGGGUGAGUAAUAUAUCGGAACGUGCCUAGUAGCGGGGGAUAACUACUCUAAACCGUGGCUAAUACCGCAUACCAUUGUAUCUGCCGAUAUGGGAUUAGCUAGUUGGUGGGGUAAAGGCUCACCAAGGCAACGAUCCGUAGCUGGUUUGAGAGGACGACCAGCCACACUGGGACUGAGACACGGUCCAGACUCCUACGGGAGGCAGCAGUGGGGAAUUUUGGACAAUGGGGGAAACCCUGAUCCAGCCAUCCCGCGUGUAUGAGAAGGCCUUCGGGUUGUAAAGUACUUUUGGCAGAGAAGCGGUAUCUGCAGAAUAAGCACCGGCUAACUACGUGCCAGCAGCCGCGGUAAUUC